CCUCGUUUGUAUCUCAUACUUUGUAUUGAAUUUUUCGGCAUGUUUUUAUCAAUUUUGUUGUAUCAUUAAGAAUUGAGUUUAAAUUCUAAUUUAUGGUGCAAUUGAGACUUAUUUUGUAUGAUUUAGUAUAUUUUUAGGUAGCUAUAGCCUUAUGGACGCUAAGUUUUUCCCUUGCGCUAUUUUUUUCUAGGCAUACUGAUGAUAUAUUCUUAAUGAAGUCUGCCAAAGGUAGUUUUCACCAUAUUUUUGAAGCAGACCCAUAUGCUAGGAUGAACUGAACUGAACUAAGCUUUGCCUUUGACUUUUUGAUCAUUUUCUGGUUGUCCUGGUGAACAUAGAGACACUUAAAAUGUUUUAAUUGGAUUCUGGUGCAACCUCGCUGUCUUGCUCCUCACCGAGGGAUAUACCAUUUGUCCAAAAGUAUCAAGCAUUGCACGUAAAGUGGACAACCUAUUCGGUACUGAAACAAUAUAUGUAGCAUGUAUGAAGCUGAAUCAUGCUUAUAACACUGAAGAACACAGCAACUUCAAUAAUGCAAGUAAGUAGCUGCAGUCUUCCAGGAUUUUUGAUAAAUAAAUCAGCAAGUGCCACUCACCCAAGUUGUCUUUUCAGCGUAUCCUACCAUGCGCCAAUGAGGCAAGUGGUAGUGUAUCCUAAAAAUCUCUUUUUCCUGAAGGUGUAAACACAUGCAGCAACUGAUCGUGUGCAUUAGAAAUUUAGAAUGCACUGUUUGAUAAUUACUCUCUUAGGCCCUGCUUGCUAACUUUGAAAAAAUAUGCGACCGGCUACCCUUCAACAACUGCCAGUCACUUGGGGACUGUUUGAUUUCUAGCCAAAUGUUGCCAGAUCUAUGGUUAGGCACACAUCACCUUCUGAGGUGAGUGAAUGUUCGGUUGGCUGACACAGUUGUGGCUUGCGACUUUACUAGUCACUUGAUUAAGGAGUAUAUUUUGGCCACACUUUUGUGGCAAGCCACACUCUGUCCCGAGGGGUAAUAAUUACUACUUUUGGCUUAGCUGUGUCAAAGUAAGCUUUUAACCAAACUAGGGUGUUAAAUUGGUCUUAAGUUUCAAUCUUGUAUUGUAGAUCAUCACAUAUGGUCUAUGUUUCCUGUUCAAUGAUGACUUAUCUGACUCGUUAAUGAGUCUACUUAAUAUCCUUUUCAACUUUGCUGGCUAGUUGGAACAAAAGGUUUUACAAAGUGAUGGACCAACUAUUACAGAAAAGGUAAGAGCUUUGGCUGCAAAACCCAACAGAUACGGGGUGCGCUAUAGUGGCUAUGUCAUCAACAACUUCAGGUUCCACACGAUGAGUCAUGAGUCAGGGCAUGUCACACAAAAUAGUGGUGUAGUGAACAUUGCAGAAAAUGGUGUUAGAUAUUAUGGCAGAUUAAGUGACAUCUUUAAAUUGUCAUACAAUGAUUACAAGGUGGUGUUCUUUAAUUGUGAUUGGUAUGAUGUCUACCAUAAAGUUGGCAUUCAAACGGAUGAGUUUGGGUUCAUCUUGUGAACAAGUCUGGGAAAAUACACACAUGAGAUGAGCUAGAGGAUGAUCCUUUUGUAUUUUCCUCCAAGUGCAGUAGGUUUUCUAUGUUCAAGAUCCAAAA